rnacentral:tRNA from 1 species
GCCUGGGUGGCUCAGUCGGUUGAGCAUCUGACUUUGGCUCAGGUCAUGAUCUCGCGGUCCGUGAGUUCAAGCCCCGCGUCGGGCU